rnacentral:rRNA from 1 species
AGAGGAAGUAAAAGUCGUAACAAGGUUUCCGUAGGUGAACCUGCGGAAGGAUCAUUAAUGAAACUUCAAAGUCGGCCAAAGGUUGUUGCUGGUGAUUAUUCACAUGUGCACGCCUUUGGUCGCAAAUCCACACACACCUGUGCAUCUAUGACUCGAGGUUGUAAUGACUGAGAGUAACUUUUAUACACUCUUGUAUGUAAUGGAAUGUCUUUUUGUGCUAUAAUGUACAAUAUAAACAACUUUCAACAACGGAUCUCUUGGCUCUCGCAUCGAUGAAGAACGCAGCGAAAUGCGAUAAGUAAUGUGAAUUGCAGAAUUCAGUGAAUCAUCGAAUCUUUGAACGCACCUUGCACCCUUUGGUAUUCCGAAGGGUACGCCCGUUUGAGUGUCAUUGUAAUCUCACUUCUACAACUUUAUUGUUGUUUGAAUGUGGACUUGGAUGUUGCCGUUUUAUCACGGCUCGUCUUAAAUGCCUGAGUGUACCCUGUUUUGCAGCGUAUCCAGUGUAAUAAACAUUUCACUAGAGUUGGUUGAAAGACCACGUUGACUAUAUGGGCUCUAUGCUUCAAACCGUCUGCCAUGUGGACAAUUUCUUGACAAUUUGACCUCAAAUCGGGUGGGACUACCCGCUGAACUUAAGCAUAUCAAUAAGCGGAGGAAAAGAAACUAACAAGGAUUCCCCUAGUAACGGCGAGUGAAGAGGGAAAAGCUCAAAUUUUAAAUCUGGUGUCUUUGACUCCCGAGUUGUAAUCUAGAGAAGUGUUUUCCGUGUCGGACCGUGUACAAGUUCCCUGGAACGGGGCGUCAUAGAGGGUGAGAAUCCCGUAUAUGCCAUGGACUACCGAUGCUCUGUGAUACACUCUCAACGAGUCGAGUUGUUUGGGAAUGCAGCUCAAAAUGGGUGGUAAAUUCCAUCUAAAGCUAAAUAUUGGCGAGAGACCGAUAGCGAACAAGUACCGUGAGGGAAAGAUGAAAAGCACUUUGGAAAGAGAGUGGAACAGUACGUGAAAUUGUUGAAAGGGAAGCGUUUGAAGUCAGUCGCAUCUGUUGGGGUUCAGCCUGGCUUUUGCCUGGUGUAUUUCCUUUCCGAUGGGUCAGCAUCAGUUUCGACCGAGGGAAAAAGACAUUUGGAAUGUGGCUGUCUUCGGGCAGUGUUAUAGCCUUGUGUUGUAUGUCUCGGUUGGGACUGAGGAUUGCAGCGCGCCAUAAAUGGCCGGGGGUCGCUCCUCUCGACACGCGCUUAGGAUGCUGGCAUAAUGGCUUUAAGCGACCCGUCUUG